AGUGAACGCUGGCGGUAGGCCUAACACAUGCAAGUCGAACGGCAGCACAGGAGAGCUUGCUCUCUGGGUGGCGAGUGGCGGACGGGUGAGGAAUACAUCGGAAUCUACUCUGUCGUGGGGGAUAACGUAGGGAAACUUACGCUAAUACCGCAUACGACCUACGGGUGAACGCAGGGGCUCUUCGGGCCUUGAGCGAUUGAAUGAGCCGAUGUCGGAUUAGCUAGUUGGCGGGGUAAAGGCCCACCAAGGCGACGAUCAGUAGCUGGUCUGAGAGGAUGAUCAGCCACACUGGAACUGAGACACGGUCCAGACUCCUACGGGAGGCAGCAGUGGGGAAUAUUGGACAAUGGGCGCAAGCCUGAUCCAGCCAUACCGCGUGGGUGAAGAAGGCCUUCGGGUUGUAAAGCCCUUUUGUUGGGAAAGAAAUCCAGCUGGCUAAUACCCGGUUGGGAUGACGGUACCCAAAGAAUAAGCACCGGCUAACUUCGUGCCAGCCGCCGCAGUAA
rnacentral:rRNA from 1 species